rnacentral:rRNA from 1 species
CCUACGGGAGGCAGCAGUGAGGAAUAUUGGUCAAUGGACGAGCGUCUGAACCAGCCAAGUAGCGUGAAGGAUGACUGCCCUAUGGGUUGUAAACUUCUUUUAUAUGGGAAUAAAACGUUCCACGUGUGGGAUUUUGUAUGUACCAUAUGAAUAAGGAUCGGCUAACUCCGUGCCAGCAGCCGCGGUAAUACGGAGGAUCCGAGCGUUAUCCGGAUUUAUUGGGUUUAAAGGGAGCGUAGGUGGAUUGUUAAGUCAGUUGUGAAAGUUUGCGGCUCAACCGUAAAAUUGCAGUUGAAACUGGCAGUCUUGAGGACAGUAGAGGUGGGCGGAAUUCGUGGUGUAGCGGUGAAAUGCUUAGAUAUCACGAAGAACUCCGAUUGCGAAGGCAGUUCACUGGACUGCAACUGACACUGAGGCUCGAAAGUGUGGGUAUCAAACAGGAUUAGAUACCCCAGUAGUC